GACGAACGCUGGCGGCGUGCUUAACACAUGCAAGUCGAGCGGUAAGGCCCUUUCGGGGGUACACGAGCGGCGAACGGGUGAGUAACACGUGGGUGACCUGCCCUUAGCUCUGGGAUAAGCCUGGGAAACUGGGUCUAAUACCGGAUAUGACUCCAUGACGCAUGUUGUGGGGUGGAAAGCCUUGUGCGGCUAGGGAUGGGCCCGCGGCCUAUCAGCUUGUUGGUGGGGUGAUGGCCUACCAAGGCGACGACGGGUAGCCGGCCUGAGAGGGCGACCGGCCACACUGGGACUGAGACACGGCCCAGACUCCUACGGGAGGCAGCAGGUGGGGAAUCUUGCGCAAGUGGGGACGAAAGCCUGACGCAGCGACGCCGCGUGA
rnacentral:rRNA from 1 species